GCGCCUGUAGCCCCGCCCUUUAUGCCGUGCGCUGCGUUCGCGGUCUCGGAGUGGGAGGGGCGGUCUAGUCCCGCCGCCUGCUUCGCCGCCAUGGACCUAGGACCUGUGAAUAUUUGUGAGGAAAUGACUAUUCUGCAUGGGGGCUUCUUGAUGGCCGAGCAGCUGUUCCACCCCAAAGACCUGGUACAGCUGACAAAGUCUGACUGGGAACAUGUAGGGCAGCCCAUUGUGGAGGCCUUGAAGGAGAUCUCCUCAGCCACAGCACAUUCCCAGUCAUUUGCCUGGAAGAAGAAAGCCCUGAUCAUCAUCUGGGCAAAGGUUCUUCAGCCUUCCCCCGUCAGUCCUUCUGACACUGACACUCGGUGGCAGGAAGAUGUGUUCUUCUCCGUGGGCAACAUGAUUCCUACCAUCAACCACACAGUCCUUUUUGAGCUACUUAAGUCUCUGGAAGCUUCUGGACUCUUCAUUCAGCUCCUAAUGUCCCUGCCUACCACCAUCUGCCGCUCAGAACUACAGAACUUUCUGGAACACAUGGCUAUUGAUACUUCUUCCAAGGAUGUCGCCUUCUUCCUGGAUGUCUGGUGGGAAAUGAUGAAGCACAAGGGUGACCAGCAGGACCCCUUGCUUUCCCAGUUCAGGACGAUGGCCCAUAAAUACUUGCCGUCUUCUGAUGAGUUUUCCCAUCCUCCAAAGAGGUUUAAGUCUGACCCAGACAUAGGUCCCACUAUGCCCCUGUUAGCCAUGCUGCUCAAUGGGCUGAAACAAAUCCAAAAUAGAAUUCUGUGCCUUGGCAUGAAGUCUUGUGCACUAGCUAACUUGGCUGACAUGCUGAAUGUGUUUGCAUUGAUGGAGGAUGACCCCCAGGAGGUAUCUGCCACCAUGUACCUAGACAAACUAGCCACAGUGAUCUCUGUAUGGAAUUCGGACACACAGAACCCAUACCAUCAACAGGCCCUGGCCGACAAGGUAAAGGAGGCAGAGCGGGACGUGAGCCUCACCUCGCUGGCCAAACUCCCCAGUGAGACUGUUUUCAUGGGGUUUGAGCUCAUGCACAACUUGCUGCAGGAGUGGGGUACAGAACUGCAAGACAUGCUCAACAGCAGUCAGGGGACAAACUAUGACACCUACCGGCUGUGUGACAGUCUGACUUCCUUCAGCCAGAACUUGAAGCACUACCUGGAUACUGCCAGCAUGUCCAAGGAGGAGAGGCAGAUGGUCUGUGAACUGGCUGAGUGUGUCAAGGACUUCCUGAGAAAAACCAGCAAAGUCCUGAAUGACAAGGGCCUCGAGGACAUCACUGCCUCCAUUGCCAUGGCCAUCAUUGAGCAGAAGAUGGACCGGCACAUGGAAAUGUGCUACAUUUUUGCUUCUGAGAAGAAGUGGGCCUUUUCAGAUGAGUGGGUUGCCUGCCUGGUUAACAACAGAUCUCUCUUCAGGGAACCAGACUUGGUCUUGAGUCUGCUGGAAACAGUGAUGGAAGUCAUCAACUCUAACAGGGUUAUCCCCCAGUCUCAGAUCAAGCAGGUGAUCUGCUUGACCUUGGAGUGUUAUGCAGAACUCUCCCUACCAGACAAAAAUAAAGUCCUUUCUGGCGUCCUGCAUUGUUGGGGGCCAAAGGGCCUCUCAGACAGGUUGUCUGUUUACGUGGAGGGUUUUCAAGAAGACCUCAACACAACGUUUAACCAGCUUGCACAGAGCAGCUCUGAACAGGGCCUGGCCAAAGCAGUGGCCUCCAUGGCCCGCCUGGUGAUCUUCUACCCAGAAGUAGUGGUAAAGAAGAUGUGCAGCACAGCUGUGACCAAUCUUGGCGCUCACAGGUUCCUGGCUCAGAUUCUCACUGCCUUCCCUGCGCUGAAGUUCACAGAAACGCAAGGGCCAAAGCCACAUACCAGUUUCAUGGUGUCCUGCCUCAAAGAAACUGUCUGGACAAAGUUCUCUACACCCAAAGAAGAGAAGCAAUUUCUGGAGCUGGUGAGCUGCCUGAUGAACCCAGUGAAACCUCAGGGAAUCCCAGUUGCUGCUCUUCUGGAGCCUGAUGAGGUGCUGAAGGAGUUUGUCCUGCCCUUCUUGAUGCUGGACAUGGAGGAGGUAGGCCUGAGUCUGAAGCUCUUCAUCCAGACCCUUGAAGCCAAUGCAGGCUUGGAGGAGUAUUGGCUGCAAACCUGCUCCCCAUUCCCGCUGCUCUUCAGCUUGUGCCAACUCCUGGAUAGCUUUAGCAAGUUCUGGCAGCUCCCCCGGGAGAAGCGCUGCCUCACUCUGGACAGCAAGGAUCUUGUGAUCUACAUCCUAAAGCUCCUCUGUGAGAUCGUGCUGGCCAAUGCAGAGACCUUCUCCCCAGACACCUGGGCCAAGUCCCUGUCCUGGCUCCACCGCAAGUUAGACCAGCUAGACUGGACUGUGGGCCUGAGACUGAAGAACUUCUUUGAAGGACACUUCAAGUGUGAGGUGCCGGCAACCCUUUUUGAGAUCUGUAAGCUCUCUGAGGCCCAGUGGACCUCUCAGGCCCAUGAAGGGUAUGGGCCUGGCACAGGGCUUCUCGCCUGGAUGGAGUGCUGCUCCAUCUCCAGCAGUGUCUCUGAAGAGAUGCUCUCCCUCUUAGUGGUGGAUGUGUGCAAUCCCGAGGAGGUCAGAUUAUUUAGCAAGGGCUUUCUGGUGGCCCUGGUACAAGUCAUGCCUUGGUGUAGUCCCCAGGAAUGGCAGUACCUUCAGCAGCUGACAAGGAAGCUGUUGGAGAAACAGCUCCUUCAUGUCCCUUAUAGCCUGGAGUAUAUUCAGUUUGUUCCCCUGCUCAACCUGAGGCCCUUUGCCCAAGAGCUUCAACUCUCUGUUCUCUCCUUGAGAGUGUUCCAGUUUCUCUGCAGCCAGAGCUGUUGUAACUGGCUUCCUAUGGACGGUUGGAGCCAUGUGGUCAGACUCCUCUGUAGCAGUCUGACCGGUAUCCUGGAUGCAAUCAGGCUGAUGCAGUUGGAGGGCCAAGGACAAAAGGGGGACCUGACUCAGGAAACCCUGUUUGUGUAUACCCAAAUGUUCUGUCAUGUUCUGCAUAUCAUGGCCAUGCUCCCCCAGGAGGUCUGUGAGCCCCUGUACGUGCUGGCUUUGGAAAUCCUUACCUGCUAUGAAACCCUAAGCAAGACCAACCCUUCUGUCAGCUUCUUGCUCCAGAAGGUCGAUGAGCAGCGCUUCCUAAAGUCUAUAGCGAAGAACAUUAGCCCCGAGGAGCGGCGCCAAACCCUGCUACAGAAGAUCAACAACUUCUGACCUGUGGAGGGCAGAACAGAUGCUAUACCUCCAACAUGGUGACGGCAGGCUUCCGCCCUCCCAACUCCUAAUUGGAAUUCACCAGGGGAAGAAGUUACAAGUGAACACUGAGCUUGAACUCUGGGCACGCUCUGUGAAUCCUUUGGUACCUUGAACCAACAUGUUGGACUAAGUAGCAGCCUACCUGAUGGAACAACCUGCUCAAUAGCGCUGGGAUAAGAAGACUUGGAGCAAAAGAGCUGGCUCAGCUGGUAAAGGCAAUGGCCUAUAAGCCUCACGACUUAAGUCUGACCCCCAUACCACCUAUAGGACCCAUAUGGUACAAGGAGAGAACUGGCUCUUCCAAGUUGUCCCUUGACCUCCACCCUUGUGCCAAAACACAGACAUACAAAAUAAAUAAGAAAAUACAAUGCUGGAUGUGGUAGUGCACGCUUUUAACCUCAGCACUCAAGAGACAGGAAGACUGCUACACAUCUGAGAACAACCUGGUUUGCAUAGUGAGACCCUGUCUCAAAAUUAAACAGAUAGGGCUGGACAGAUGGCUCAUGGUUAAGAGCACUUGCUACUCUUACAGGGGACAAGUUUGGUUACCAGCACCCAUGUCAGGCAAUCAGAACUAAGCAGGUUUCUAGCCACUUCUGACCUCCACAGGUACUUGUACAUUCACUUAGAUAAAGCAAAUAAUCUCUAAAAGAAAUAAUGCUGAAGCCUAUUGGUAGUGCAGGCCCAUGAUUCCAGCUCCAUGGGGAACUGGAGUGGGAAGACUACAAGUGCAAGGCCGAGCUGAGCAACUUAAGACUGUCUCAAAACAGUCAAGAGAGCUGGGGGUAGAGUGAGGGGUAGAAUGCUUUCCCUGCAUGAGUGAGGCGCUAGAUUAAUUACUUGUACUAAAAACAAAUAAUAAAAAACAAGCCCGAAAACAGCUCAGGGGUUAAGAGCAUGGGCUGCUCUUCAAGAGGACCCAGGUUUAAUUCCCAUCACCUAUAUGGUGGCUCAAACCAUCAAUAACUCCAGUUCCAGGGAAUCAACAGUUCUGGCCCCUGCAGCCUCCAGUCCAGCAAGAGGUACACAGACAUACAUGCAGGCAAAACACCCAUACAUAUACAAAAGAAACAAAUCUUUUACAAACUAACAGUGACGGCCAGGAGUCACAAACAUUUCAGGUGGUAUGGUUUUCCUCCACUGCUUGCAUGGAAGACUGAACCCAACGAAGUAAUUAGCAGGAGGGCCAGCAUAGUACAAAAGGGAAGAAAGGGCUCCCCAACUCCUAAGGAAUGACCAAGGCACCCGGCUCAGUGACUGAGGCUGCGGCCCUGA